rnacentral:rRNA from 1 species
CGCGCAGGCGGCCUGGCAGGUGGCUGGUGAAAGCUCCUGGCUUAACUAGGAGAGGUCCAGUCAAACCGCCGGGCUUGAGCGUCGGAGAGGGGCAUGGAAUUCCGGGUGGAGCGGUGAAAUGCGUAGAGAUCCGGAGGAACACCAAUGGCGAAGGCAGUGCCCUGGCCGACGGCUGACGCUCAGGCGCGAAAGCGUGGGGAGCAAACAGGAUUAGAUACCCUGGUAGUCCACGCCGUAAACGAUGUCCACUAGAUAGAGGCAGUUUCGACCCUGUCUCUGUUGCAGCUAACGCAAUAAGUGGACCGCCUGGGGAGUACGGUCGCAAGAUUAAA